GCAUGGAUGGCGAGACGCCUGAGGGAACAGGACAAGCCGAAGACUACAGGCUGAGGCUGUCCCCUCGGAAAGCGAAGCCAUCCAUAC
rnacentral:ncRNA from 1 species